CGGGUGAGUAACACGUUGAUAACCUACCUAUAAGACUGGGAUAACUUCGGGAAACCGGAGCUAAUACCGGAUAAUAUAUUGAACCGCAUGGUUCAAUAGUGAAAGACGGUUUUGCUGUCACUUAUAGAUGGAUCCGCGCCGCAUUAGCUAGUUGGUAAGGUAACGGCUUACCAAGGCGACGAUGCGUAGCCGACCUGAGAGGGUGAUCGGCCACACUGGAACUGAGACACGGUCCAG
rnacentral:rRNA from 1 species